rnacentral:lncRNA from 1 species
UAUGGGAGGAAGCUCAUUGUAGAGGUCACGUGCCGAGUGCUCGUCACUCAACCAAUCACCUCGGGGAAGGUCUGAGACAAGAGCCAAUUGCUGCCAGCCUCUGUUUCAAUGUCAUCAUAGAGAUUGAGUAGACGGGAUGGGAAACCGGCCUUUGCAAUUCAUUUUCCUUCUUA